GCGGCGUGCCUAAUACAUGCAAGUCGAACGCACUCUCGUUAGAUUGAAGAAGCUUGCUUCUGAUUGAUAACAUUUGAGUGAGUGGCGGACGGGUGAGUAACACGUGGGUAACCUGCCCUAAAGUGGGGGAUAACAUUUGGAAACAGAUGCUAAUACCGCAUAAAACCUAGCACCGCAUGGUGCAAGGUUGAAAGAUGGUUUCGGCUAUCACUUUAGGAUGGACCCGCGGUGCAUUAGUUAGUUGGUGAGGUAAAGGCUCACCAAGACCGUGAUGCAUAGCCGACCUGAGAGGGUAAUCGGCCACACUGGGACUGAGACACGGCCCAGACUCCUACGGGAGGCAGCAGUAGGGAAUCUUCCACAAUGGACGAAAGUCUGAUGGAGCAACGCCGCGUGAGUGAAGAAGGUUUUCGGAUCGUAAAACUCUGUUGUUGGAGAAGAACGUAUUUGAUAGUAACUGAUCAGGUAGUGACGGUAUCCAACCAGAAAGCCACGGCUAACUACGUGCCAGCAGCCGCGGUAAUACGUAGGUGGCAAGCGUUGUCCGGAUUUAUUGGGCGUAAAGCGAGCGCAGGCGGUUUCUUAAGUCUGAUGUGAAAGCCUUCGGCUCAACCGAAGAAGUGCAUCGGAAACUGGGAAACUUGAGUGCAGAAGAGGACAGUGGAACUCCAUGUGUAGCGGUGAAAUGCGUAGAUAUAUGGAAGAACACCAGUGGCGAAGGCGGCUGUCUGGUCUGUAACUGACGCUGAGGCUCGAAAGCAUGGGUAGCAAACAGGAUUAGAUACCCUGUAGUCCAUGCCGUAAACGAUGAGUGCUAGGUGUUGGAGGGUUUCCGCCCUUCAGUGCCGCAGCUAACGCAUUAAGCACUCCGCCUGGGGAGUACGACCGCAAGGUUGAAACUCAAAGGAAUUGACGGGGGCCCGCACAAGCGGUGGAGCAUGUGGUUUAAUUCGAAGCAACGCGAAGAACCUUACCAGGUCUUGACAUCCUUUGACCACUCUAGAGAUAGAGCUUUCCCUUCGGGGACAAAGUGACAGGUGGUGCAUGGUUGUCGUCAGCUCGUGUCGUGAGAUGUUGGGUUAAGUCCCGCAACGAGCGCAACCCUUAUUACUAGUUGCCAGCAUUUAGUUGGGCACUCUAGUGAGACUGCCGGUGACAAACCGGAGGAAGGUGGGGACGACGUCAAAUCAUCAUGCCCCUUAUGACCUGGGCUACACACGUGCUACAAUGGAUGGUACAACGAGUCGCGAGACCGCGAGGUUUAGCUAAUCUCUUAAAACCAUUCUCAGUUCGGAUUGUAGGCUGCAACUCGCCUACAUGAAGCCGGAAUCGCUAGUAAUCGCGGAUCAGCAUGCCGCGGUGAAUACGUUCCCGGGUC
rnacentral:rRNA from 2 species